GACGAACGCUGGCGGCGUGCUUAACACAUGCAAGUCGAACGGAAAGGCCCUGCUUUUGUGGGGUGCUCGAGUGGCGAACGGGUGAGUAACACGUGAGUAACCUGCCCUUGACUUUGGGAUAACUUCAGGAAACUGGGGCUAAUACCGGAUAGGAGCUCCUGCUGCAUGGUGGGGGUUGGAAAGUUUCGGCGGUUUGGGAUGGACUCGCGGCUUAUCAGCUUGUUGGUGGGGUAGUGGCUUACCAAGGCUUUGACGGGUAGCCGGCCUGAGAGGGUGACCGGCCACAUUGGGACUGCGGUACGGCCCAGACUCCUACGGGAGGCAGCAGUGGGGAAUAUUGCACAAUGGGCGGAAGCCUGAUGCAGCAACGCCGCGUGCGGGAUGACGGCCUUCGGGUUGUAAACCGCUUUCGCCUGUGACGAAGCGUGAGUGACGGUAAUGGGUAAAGAAGCACCGGCUAACUACGUG
rnacentral:rRNA from 1 species